AGCGGCGGAUGGGUGAGUAACACGUGGGGAACCUGCCCCUAAGUCUGGGAUACCAUUUGGAAACAGGUGCUAAUACCGGAUAAUAAAGCAGAUCGCAUGAUCAGCUUUUGAAAGGCGGCGUAAGCUGUCGCUAAGGGAUGGCCCCGCGGUGCAUUAGCUAGUUGGUAAGGUAACGGCUUACCAAGGCGACGAUGCAUAGCCGAGUUGAGAGACUGAUCGGCCACAUUGGGACUGAGACACGGCCCAAACUCCUACGGGAGGCAGCAGUAGGGAAUCUUCCACAAUGGACGCAAGUCUGAUGGAGCAACGCCGCGUGAGUGAAGAAGGUUUUCGGAUCGUAAAGCUCUGUUGUUGGUGAAGAAGGAUAGAGGUAGUAACUGGCCUUUAUUUGACGGUAAUCAACCAGAAAGUCACGGCUAACUACGUGCCAGCAGCCGCGGUAAUACGUAGGUGGCAAGCGUUGUCCGGGUUUAUUGGGCGUAAAGCGAGCGCAGGCGGAAAAAUAAGUCUAAUGUGAAAGCCCUCGGCUUAACCGAGGAACUGCAUCGGAAACUGUUUUUCUUGAGUGCAGAAGAGGAGAGUGGAACUCCAUGUGUAGCGGUGGAAUGCGUAGAUAUAUGGAAGAACACCAGUGGCGAAGGCGGCUCUCUGGUCUGCAACUGACGCUGAGGCUCGAAAGCAUGGGUAGCGAACAGGAUUAGAUACCCUGGUAGUCCAUGCCGUAAACGAUGAGUGCUAAGUGU
rnacentral:rRNA from 1 species